rnacentral:lncRNA from 1 species
ACUUCAGAAAACUGCCUUGUAGAAAAACAGCAUUUCAGCCACAUUCUCUCAUCAAAUGUGUAUGUGACGCACUCAUCUGUCAGAAAUAUCUCUGAUGGUCGCCAGUGUCUGCAAAUCAGAGGACUCAACAGAUGUCUUUGCUCCGUGGGUAUAAACUUGAGACAUCAGGAAGCUGCAGAUGCAGAACUGGAGGGUAGUGACGUGUUGCUUUCAGAAUACAAAACGAAACUCUAUUUUGAGUCUGAAUUUGAAACACGCGUGUGUGUAUUCUUACUUUCAAGCUCAAGGAUAGACUGUUUAUAACUAGCAUUGAACACAGAGAUUCCUUGGACGCUUUUUGGAACAUUCCUUGUAGCAGUGGAAACCAUUUCGCUGUAGCUCUCUCCUCUUCAUGACGUGCCUCGAAUAAUUCAGACGGCAGAAACGUUGAGAUGGCAAGAGCCUGCNNNNNNNNNNNNNNNNNNNNNNNNNNNNNNNNNNNNNNNNNNNNNNNNNNNNNNNNNNNNNNNNNNNNNNNNNNNNNNNNNNNNNNNNNNNNNNNNNNNAACGUUGAGAUGGCAAGAGCCUGCCUUUGAGGCUGCAUUUCCUCCCAGUGGCUGAAGUAGCUCACUCAGGUCCUUCAAGGAACUCUCAGUGAAUACAUGACCUCAGGUCUCAGGAGGAGGGACCCUCGGAAAGCUCUGAAUCCUCCCCAGUUGUUAGAGACAUGACUUGCUUUAAAUAGCAGAUGUUUCUGGAAAGUUGGCAAAUAUAGUUUUUGUGAUUGACGUAAUACCUCAAAUUAUGCCAGGGAGGUUUUCUUUAAAUAGAAGAACCUAUUGUGACUCCUCUUGUGAAUAUUAACUCUCUCAUCUCUUUGGAUUAAAAUUAAAUUUUUGUAAAAGGAGGAGGGGCAGGGAUGCAUUUAAACAACCAACAAGUUUGUUGGAUGGAAAUGCCUGCAUUUUUGUGUACAUGUUUAUGAUGAAACUGAUGACCCUCUGGUCACCUUUUCUUUUUUAAUAAUGUCUUAAUUUUUUUAUGUGGGCUAUCUUUUAAAAGUUUUUAUUGAAUUUAUUACAACAUUGCUUCUGUUUUAUGUUUUGAUUUUUUUGGCCUCAAGGCUUGUGGGAUCUUAGCCUCCUGAACAGGGCUCAAACCCACACCCCUUCAUUGUUACGUGAAGUCUUAACCACUGGAUUGGCAGGGAAGUCCCUCAUCACCUCUUCUUAAAAACAAACCCAAACUCACCACACAUACCCACUUACCUGCUUGCAGAGCCACAUCAGGCCCGGGUGCAGACUUGCCCUUAGGUGAACUUUGUGAUGCCUCAUCUCAUGACAUCCUUGUGACACCAAUUUGAAGUGUCUGGUGGCCCCAUUGUACAGAUGUGGAUGUAAGGGCUCUAGCUCGUGUUUGGUGGGGAUCACGCAUAAAAUGCCCCAGUGCCUCAGAGCCUGCGUUCUGAUGAGGAGAAGGACCACAGAUCAGUAAAGGAGCAGGUCCACACUGGUGACAGUGCUCAAGGUUUUACAGCUGCUAAGGGGAGAAUUAGGAACUUUGUCCCAUCAUCCCCCCCUUCCGAGGUGAAGGAAUCGUAGGGAAGUGGUCCCUGCCCAUAGGGACCUUGUGACCCAGUUGGGGGCGGAUUUAGCAGAGCUGAUGUUGUGUCAGAAUGGGGGCUGCUGGGAAGAUGAGUCAGUGCCGAAUGGAGUUGUGGGAGGAGAGAUUGCUGUGUGCUGGGAAAUUUGGAAAAGGAUCAAAAUAAGAGAUCGGGUUUGAGCCAAGCCUUAAGUUGCUCUCUCCUUGCCCAAUUUUUCUUGGAAAUACUUGGAAAUGAAAUUCUGUUGUCUUGCUGCCCAGUUCUUUGGUGGAGACUUCUUUUUUUUAAAUGAGAGAUGUAAGGGUUUCCUUCCUUUCCUCCACAGCAGGAGCCAUGCAGAUGUGUUAAAAGUCAACAUACACAUGGCACCAUAGAGCCACGUCGCCUCAGACCCAGCCCUGUGCUUUCUCUGGACACUGUCGUCUGAGGGUUGUCCAUGGCAGCUGUGAACUCAGUUUCCCUUGGGGACACAGUCGCACCCCAUGGCCGG